rnacentral:rRNA from 1 species
UACGUAGGGGGCAAGCGUUGUCCGGAUUUAUUGGGCGUAAAGAGCGUGUAGGCGGCCAGACAGGUCAGCUGUGAAAACUCGAGGCUCAACCUCGAGACGUCGGUUGAAACCGUUUGGCUAGAGUCCGGAAGAGGAGAGUGGAAUUCCUGGUGUAGCGGUGAAAUGCGCAGAUAUCAGGAAGAACACCCGUGGCUAAGGCGGCUCUCUAGUACGUGACUGACGCUGAGACGCGAAAGCGUGGGGAGCGAACAGG